ACGGGAGGCAGCAGUGAGGAAUAUUGGUCAAUGGGCGAGAGCCUGAACCAGCCAAGUAGCGUGCACGAAGACUGCCCUCUGGGUUGUAAAGUGCUUUAGUAUGGGAAUAAAGUGAGGGACGUGUCCCUUUUUGUAUGUACCAUAAGAAUAAGGACCGGCUAAUUCCGUGCCAGCAGCCGCGGUAAUACGGAAGGUCCAGGCGUUAUCCGGAUUUAUUGGGUUUAAAGGGAGCGUAGGCGGAUUAUCAAGUCAGUGGUAAAAUCGUGUGGCCCAACCAUACCUCGCCAUUGAAACUGUUAGUCUUGAGUGCACGCAGGGAUGCUGGAAUUCGUUGUGUAGCGGUGAAAUGCUUAGAUAUGACGAAGAACACCGAUUGCGUAGGCAGCAGACCAGGCCGUAAAUGACGCUCAUGCACGAAAGUGCGGGGAUCGAACAGGAUUAGAUACCCUGGUA
rnacentral:rRNA from 1 species